CAGGGUUGCCUUUGCUCUCUCCUGUGAAGGUUUAGUUACAGAAGUGCAACAAGUGUUCUUGAGAAUUUUGCUCUCCCAUUAACUAUAGAAGACAUAUACGCAUACAACAUCCAUUGAAAAAGCUUGAUAAGGAUUCUGAUAAAAAUAGGGAUCUUUUAGGGGCAUAUUGGGAUAAGCUCUCCGUAGAAGAGGCAAAGGAAGUUGUUUCAUUCAAGAAUGUGAUGUUGGAGGUAAUAUCUCUUUUGCUCCUUAUGUGACUAGUUUAUUUCUAUAUGAAGUUAUGUUGAUGUGAUUUGCCUUACUCAAGUACUGGUUAGGUC